GAUCCCAUCCAGGAUACCGCAGGACAUUUAGUUCUCUUCUUGGCCGUGAUAAUGAUUUUGAUGUGACCUUGACCGUUUCAAGGCGUACAGGUGAAGUGUUACGUAGCACGUUCCUCAGUUGAGAUUUGUCGGAUGUUUUUCUCAUGCUUAUUCUGGCGUGCUGGAUUUGGGGACCAGACCACAGAGGAUUGGAAGGACUGUCAGAAGCAUCGUCUCACCUCUGUGCUGGACCCCAAGCAGAGGGAGCACCUGGGUUCAGAAUAGCUCUCGAUUUCACAGGGAACAACUUCAUUUGUUCGGAUCGUGCCUCAAAAUCUCCACCACAACCUGCACCCCGACCCCUGCUUUAGCCUUCCCCAAACAAAACCUGUCACCCCGGGCAAACAGAGCCUUGGGAGGGAAUGAAAGCACUGUGCUUCUGCCUGGGAGUUUAUUCCCUCUGGAGACCCUGCUCUAGCAUCAGCUCCGGCAAGCCUGGUCAUGGCCCCAGGUCUUCCCUGGCUGUUCUCAAAUUACUACUCUCUUUUGCAUUUCAGGGAUUUUUUUCCAAGGUGAUGAUCAAGCUGUAGUCCAUUAGCUUUUUCCACCAGGAGGGAGCUGGUCUUGAAACCCACCCCUUGUCCACCUUUGCCAUUAAAGCCCAGGCAUGACAUCCUGCCCACGGGGCACUGCCGGGGCUUCUGUGACUGUCUGAUACUGCGGGAAAAGUGAGGCAGCAGUUUGCUUUGAAGCCUUGCCCAACACUUUCUCAGGGCAAAACAAGAGAUGAAACAAGAGCCCUAUUUUCUUUUUCCGUUUUUGCUUUUCAGGGCUGCACUCGCGGCAUAUGGAGGGUCCCAGGCUAGGGGUCAAAUCAGAGUUCCAGCUGCCAGCCUACACCACAGCCACAGCCACAACAAUGUGAGAUCUGAGCUGUGUCUGCGACCUACACCACAGUUCACAGCAACGCCAGAUCCUUAAGCUGCUGAGCGAGGCCAGGGAUCGACCCUACAUCCUCAUGGAUCCUAGUUGGGUUUGUUAACUGCUGAGCCACGGAGGGAACUCUGGAAGUGCCUGUUUUCUUGAUCUACAGAUUUAAAAUCUAAAGCAACUGUUUGCAUAGGAACUUUAGGCAUCCCUGAAAGAAAAGAGGCCCAAGACCACCGUACCUUUCUGGAUAAAUCAGAUUUCUGUUAUGUAAGCAGUGACUGUGACCAGUAGCUGUUCAGCACAGUUUCUCAGUUGUGUUCAUCCUGGAAAUUACAGCAAUGACUCACAGUUUUUGGAGUGGUGACACCCUGCCCCUAUGUUUUAAUCUCCUUUCCUUUCUAAUGACACAAUGUGGAUUUGGGGUGAGUGCGGAGGUACAAAGUAUUAAUGUUUCGAUCAAUUGUAAAUUAAAAAAAUCGAAACCUUGGAACUCGUGUUAAUUCCCCCCAAAUGUCAUCAGUUAUUCUCCUUCAUCGAAACUGUUCACAUGUCUCAGUACUAUACAAUGAAUGUCAUUUUCAAAACUUUAUUGUAUAUCACUCCUUUUAUGAGUGACGCGUUUGAUUGAUUCAAAAAAGUUUGCUAGCACUUUUUGGGCAGGCAUUAGGGAUAACACUAAGUGGUCAAGUUCAAACCCUCUGCUGUGGGAAUGUAGGAAAAACGAGCCAGGUACUUCAUUCGGUGGAUCUUGGAGGACUUCUUGGAGGAGGUGGGGUUUGAGCUUCGGCUAAAGGAUGAGUAAGACAUUUACAAGGGUUUCAUGAGGAGAGCGGUCAUCUGGGUGGAGCUUUGGAGAACCAGAUUCUUGGGUUCAGCCUCAGAAUCUCAGGGGUGAGGCCCUGGUAUGUGUGGUUCUGAUGUGUAACCAGGGCUGGCACGUCAAGUUUGUUCAGAGACCAGAGAACGGCCUGAAAGACAGUCUCUAGGGCUUGGAGAGUCUAAGCCAGUAGUUCCCCACCUCAGCAGAAGGGCAAAUAAAAGGAAUGAGAUGAAGCAUCUUUAAAGGUUUCCUUUACAGACAAGGUCCCUGGAUGUGAAGUUUGUUAAAGAUACUAAGAUUUUUGCCCCAUGUCACAACGAAAGGAUUCUCUGGAAUAAGAAAAAACAUGUGGUUAAAACCAAACCAAAAAACAGCACAGAAUCUCAUUGGUCUCAGAUGGCCUGUGCCAGGGGGUGACAAACUUUUUCUGUGAGGGUCGGAAAGUAAAUAUUUUCAGCUUUAUAAACCAUGACAGUCUCUGUUACAACUAUUCAACUCUGCCACUGUAGCACAAAAGCAGCGUGAGCUAACGCUAGGUGAAUAAGCAUGGCUCUGUUCCAACAAAGCUUCAUUUAUGAACACUGAUAUUUGAAUUUCAUACAAUUUUGACGUUUCAAAAUAUUAUUAUUCCUUUGAUUUAUUUUCAACCACUUAAAAACAUAAAUUCUUAUUAUUUACUACAGCCGGGAGGUAGAGGCAACCCAAAUAUC
rnacentral:lncRNA from 1 species